GACGAACGCUGGCGGCGUGCUUAACACAUGCAAGUCGAACGGAAAGGCACUGCUUGUGUGGGGUGCUCGAGUGGCGAAGGGGUGAGUAACACGAGAGUAACCUGCCCUUGACUUUGGGAUAACUUAAGGAAACUGGGGCUAAUAUAGGAUAGGAGCUCCCGCUGCAUGGUGGGGGUUGGAAAGUUUCGGCGGUUGGGGAUGGACUCGCGGCUUAUCAGCUUGCUGGUGGGGUAGUGGCUUACCAAGGCUUUGACGGGUAGCCGGCCUGGGAGGGUGACCGGCCACAUUGGGACUGAGAUACGGCCCAGACGCCUACGUGAGGCAGCAGUGGGGAAUAUUGCACAAUGGGCGGAAGCCUGAUGCGGCAACGCCGCGUGCGUGAUGACGGCCUUCGGGUUGUAAACCGCUUUCGCCUGUGACGAAGCGUGAGUGACGGUAAUGGGUAAAGAAGCACCGGCUAACUACGUG
rnacentral:rRNA from 1 species